UACGGGGGGAGCAAGCGUUGUUCGGAUUUACUGGGCGUAAAGGGCGCGUAGGCGGCCAGCACAAGUCAGUUGUGAAAUCUCCGGGCUUAACUCGGAAAGGUCAACUGAUACUGUGCGGCUAGAGUGCAGAAGGGGCAACUGGAAUUCUCGGUGUAGCGGUGAAAUGCGUAGAUAUCGAGAGGAACACCUGCGGCGAAGGCGGGUUGCUGGGCUGACACUGACGCUGAGGCGCGAAAGCUAGGGGAGCGAACGGG
rnacentral:rRNA from 1 species